rnacentral:sRNA from 12 species
CUUGUGGACUGUUAUAUCAAAUGGGAGUAGAUUUAUAUUUGAGGAUAUAAAAACAAAACCAGACAGGAAGAAGCAAGAA